AUGUAAUGGUGUGGACACUUCCUCAAAAGCUCUUUAUAUCUCUCCUAAGCCUCAUAUAAUGAUUUUUCUUCUUGCUGCACAAAUGAUGUGAUCUUACCUCUUAACUU